rnacentral:rRNA from 1 species
UACGAAGGGUGCUAGCGUUGUUCGGAAUCACUGGGCGUAAAGGGCGCGUAGGCGGCUUGAUAAGUCGGGGGUGAAAGCCUGUGGCUCAACCGCAGAAUUGCCUUCGAUACUGUCGGGCUUGAGACCGGAAGAGGUUAGUGGAACUGCGAGUGUAGAGGUGAAAUUCGUAGAUAUUCGCAAGAACACCAGUGGCGAAGGCGGCUCACUGGCCCGGUACUGACGCUGAGGUGCGAAAGCGUGGGGAGCAAACAGG